AGUGAACGCUGGCGGUAGGCCUAACACAUGCAAGUCGAACGGCAGCACAGUAAGAGCUUGCUCUUACGGGUGGCGAGUGGCGGACGGGUGAGGAAUACAUCGGAAUCUACUUUUUCGUGGGGGAUAACGUAGGGAAACUUACGCUAAUACCGCAUACGACCUACGGGUGAAAGCAGGGGAUCUUCGGACCUUGCGCGAUUGUAUGAGCCGAUGUCGGAUUAGCUAGUUGGCGGGGUAAAGGCCCACCAAGGCGACGAUCCGUAGCUGGUCUGAGAGGAUGAUCAGCCACACUGGAACUGAGACACGGUCCAGACUCCUACGGGAGGCAGCAGUGGGGAAUAUUGGACAAUGGGCGCAAGCCUGAUCCAGCCAUACCGCGUGGGUGAAGAAGGCCUUCGGAUUGUAAAGCCCUUUUGUUGGGAAAGAAAAGCAGCAGGUUAAUACCCCGCUGUUCUGACGGUACCAAAAGAAUAAGCACCGGCUAACUUCGUG
rnacentral:rRNA from 1 species